CCUUCCAAGGUUCUAGAACUUUUAAGAUUCUACAAAAUGGGGAGCGGGUUUCGGCUGUAGGACUUGAGUGGUCUUGGCCAUCUUACCAAGGGCCACCAGGACCCCAGAUAGGCCACUGGGGGCAUGGACCAGCCUGGAGGACAGCCUGAAGUGCCCCUGCCUUCAGGCCUGCUGUGACACGUUGAGGCUUCAUUCAUAACUAGUCCAAGUGUUUGGCGAGCAGGGGGCUGCGGACACGUGGGCUCGAAGAAGGUGCCUUAGAGAGACCCUCACGUUCCCUCCAAGGAAGGAGCCACCUCUGCCAGCCCGCAGGCCCCUUCCCCGACAACAGCCGCUUACCUCCCACCUGCAAUCCCCGCACCGGCCUCCCGCGCCCAUCCUUACUGUUUCCUUUUCUCCUCCCGAGCAAGGAGCCAGUUUUCGCUCAGCAAACCUUUACCAACUGCCUAUUAAGUGCCAAGUGCUAGGUUAAGCGUUUGAAACACCUAUCACGGAUUGGGACCUCCGUAAGCAGAGCAUGAAGGGCAAGAUAUUUAUUGGGGAUUAACACGUAUGAAAGGGAAGGGAGGAAACAGGAUUAGACAAGUGAAGUCAACUGAUCCCGGCUCUGCAAAGCCUCAGCCAGCCCUGCGGCGAGCUCUGGAGAGAGCCCCGCCUGGCAGGACCGUUCUGCAUCAGCCGAAAUGGCCAACCCUUUAAACCCCAAGGCUCAGUCACCAGAUGCAGGCUGCCCUGGGAAGGGUGUGACCUCAGGCCACAGGCUCUCUGCAGCUAAGGCAGACCCGAAAGAGCCGAAAGAGCCGAAGGCAGCGGACUGUCGCCAGCCGCACUCCCCGCGCCGGGCAGCAGGCCCUUCCCGGAAGGGGUGUCUGGGCAGAGUCCCUCUCUUUGUCUACCGAACAUCCAUGAUCCGACCGAAAUCGCGCCACAACCCAUCUGUGCAGGAAUUAACAAACUUAUUUUACAGAGGAGUUCACAGAGGUUCAGCAACUUGCCCAAAGCAGCUUCCAGAAAGGAAGAGAGAGUCGGAAGCCAGGAUGUACUCAUGUCUGUACUUGGCGCCUGGAGGUGUGGCAGCCAUCUUGUGACCGGGCGGAGAAACUGACACCCUGAUGCUGGCUCAGCGGGAAGAUGGAAAGGACAUUACUGGGCUGCUGAAUUAAUGGCUCCUGUAGCUACCAAACCUUGGAACUUAGUCUUCAGUGGAUACACGUUUCUCACUGUUGAUCAGCUGAGUUGGUGGCUUCAAAUUUUUGCAGCCUGAAGGUUCUGACUGAUUCAAGAGCUAAAGAGGAUGCCAAGACACCUUGUUGCUUCCACAGCUUAGGCUUGGAGAAGAGAUAAAGCUGUGAGGGUUAAAGGUAUAGGCUUUGCAGUUAGACAGAGUUGGCUUCAAGUCCCAGCUUGGCCACUUCCUACUUGUGUGACCUUAGGCAUGUCACUUAAUGUCCUUGAGAUUCAAUUCCUGGGGAUGAGAAUAAUACAACAUAGGGCUCUGAUGAUAAAAUAAGGAAAUGCACAAAAAGGGCUGCUUAGUACAGGACAGGGUGCAUAAUAAGUACUCAUUAUAUCAUCCUGAUGCCA